ACAAAGUACAGUUUUUCCUCCUUUUUUCCUAAAUACAGAAACUUCUCCACUCAGAAUGUGAUUCCCAAGCAUCAAUACAGACCGAAUGGCCAAGAUCCCCCUUUUUUUUUUUCCUUUUCUUCCCAGGAAAAGCAGCGUGGUUCAGACUUCAGAAGGCAGAACAGCUGCUCCCAUCUGAGAGACCACCACAUGGGCUAUUUGUUCUCUGAGAUCAGAGAACAAGUACUUUUUAAACUUCAACCAGUGUUUUCUCUAGAGAGAGCAGACAUCUUUCUGAAGAAUAAAUUAAGCAUUCAAUUAAACUCUACAACAGAUGCCUCACUCCAUUCUGCUUGCUCACUGUCUGAGCCUGUGCCUCCUGCUGCUAUAGUGACCCUCUGAGCUAACCCUGGAUGGAGAAACCUGUAACUCUCUCAUACUGGAAGCAUAACCAUCUUUCUGAGUAGCCUAACUGCUGGCUUCUGUAGUGGAUGGGGAUAAUGCUGUACCCUUCCAAACAAAAUGUUAAUAGACUAAUGAAGAAAAUUUAAUUCAAAUACCGAAGCUCCCAAAGGGCAAAGGAUCAUGCAUUUAGGCAGCACACAAAGUUUGUUUUACCACACAAUUGUCACCAAUGAAGUGACUAUGUUCUGCACAUGGAAACACACCAUCAAAAUCAAGACACCCUCCAGAAUCAGCCACACAGGUAUUGGCAUAGUACUUUAUAAAACAGUAAACAAGAGACCCAGAAGAUUUCUACUACCAAUUAUUUGUAUCACAAAAACAUAGACGUACAAGUAAAAAAAG
rnacentral:lncRNA from 1 species